GCAGUGGUGGCUCUGUGGUAGAAUUGUCACCUUCCACGUGGGAGACCCAGGUUCAUUUCCUGGCCAAUGCA
rnacentral:tRNA from 1 species